rnacentral:rRNA from 1 species
AUGAGCAGGAGGCCCAGGGAGAAGGAGCCCUCCUUGCUGGUCUCCGACGUCCGGCGUCGGCAGCACAACUGCCUCCCCCAAGAGGAGGCCCUCCUUGUCGGCCUCUCUCGUGCUGGUGCUAGGGAAGCUCAAUGCUCUCGACAAGGCAAGAAGCCAGGGAAUAGGCGCAGAAUCAAUGGCAAGUCGAGUCGACAGAUUAUUGAAGCUUAUAGCCCUCCAAUGCAGUAUCUGUAUGCUUUACAAAACUAUCCGAGUAUUGCAAAAUUGCAUGAUACAUCAAAUUGGAGCGUAGCCUACAUACUUAUGGAUUGUGGACUUAUGUUGCUUAUUUAG